rnacentral:rRNA from 1 species
GUGGGGAAUAUUGGACAAUGGGCGCAAGCCUGAUCCAGCCAUGCCGCGUGAGUGAUGAAGGCCUUAGGGUUGUAAAGCUCUUUUGUCCGGGAAGAUAAUGACUGUACCGGAAGAAUAAGCCCCGGCUAACUUCGUGCCAGCAGCCGCGGUAAUACGAAGGGGGCUAGCGUUGUUCGGAAUCACUGGGCGUAAAGCGCACGUAGGCGGACCAUUAAGUCAGGGGUGAAAGCCUGGAGCUCAACUCCAGAACUGCCUUUGAUACUGAUGGUCUCGAGUAUGGAAGAGGUUGGUGGAACUGCGAGUGUAGAGGUGAAAUUCGUAGAUAUUCGCAAGAACACCGGUGGCGAAGGCGGCCAACUGGUCCAUUACUGACGCUGAGGUGCGAAAGCGUGGGGAGCAAACAGGAUUAGAAACCCCGGUAGUCC